CAGUCGCCACGGUAAUACGAGGGGGGCAAGCGUUGUUCGGAAUUAUUGGGCGUAAAGGGUGCGUAGGCGGUUUGGCAAGUUUGGUGUGAAAUCUUCGGGCUCAACUCGAAGUCUGCAUCGAAAACUGCCGGGCUUGAGUAUGGGAGAGGUGAGUGGAAUUUCCGGUGUAGCGGUGAAAUGCGUAGAUAUCGGAAGGAACACCUGUGGCGAAAGCGGCUCACUGGACCAUAACUGACGCUGAUGCACGAAAGCUAGGGGAGCAAACAGGAUUAGAUACCCCAGUAGUCCCUGUCUCUUAUAC
rnacentral:rRNA from 1 species